AUUGCACGCUGGCGGCAGGCUUAACACAUGCAAGUCGCGCGAGCGGCGGACGGGUGAGUAAUGUCUGGGAAACUGCCUGAUGGAGGGGGAUAACUACUGGAAACGGUCGCUAAUACCGCAUACCAUCAGAUGUGCCCAGAUGGGAUGAGCUAGUAGGUGGGGUAAUGGCUCACCUAGGCGACGAUCCCUCGCUGGUCUGAGAGGAUGACUAGCCACACUGGAACUGAGACACGGUCCAGACCCCUACGGGAGGCAGCAGUGGGGAAGAUUGAACAAUGGGCGCAAGCCUGAUGCAGCCAGGCCGCGGGUGUGAAGAGGGCCUGCGGGGUGUAAAGCACUUUCAGCGAGGAGGCGUUACUCGCAGAAGAAGCACCGGCUAACUCCGUGCCAGCAGCCGCGGUAAUAC
rnacentral:rRNA from 1 species